rnacentral:rRNA from 1 species
AACGAACGCUGGCGGCAUGCCUAACACAUGCAAGUCGAACGAGACCUUCGGGUCUAGUGGCGCACGGGUGCGUAACGCGUGGGAACCUGCCCUUAGGUUCGGAAUAACUCCCCGAAAGGGGUGCUAAUACCGGAUAAUGUCUUCGGACCAAAGAUUUAUCGCCUUUGGAUGGGCCCGCGUUGGAUUAGCUAGUUGGUAGGGUAAAAGCCUACCAAGGCGACGAUCCAUAGCUGGUCUGAGAGGAGGAUCAGCCACACUGGGACUGAGACACGGCCCAGACUCCUCCGGGAGGAAGCAGUGGGGAAAUUUGGACAAUGGGCGAAAGCCUGUUCCAGCAAUGCCGCGUGAGUGAUGAAGGCCUUAGGGUUGUAAAGCUCUUUACCCGGGAUGAUAAUGACAGUACCGGGAGAAUAAGCUCCGGCUAACUCCGUG